GUGCUUGCUUCAGCAGCACAUAUACGAAAAUAAAAUUGGAAUGAUACAGAGAUUAGCAUGGCCCCUGUGCAAGAAUGACGUACAAAUUUGUGAAGCAUUGCAUAUUAAA
ensembl:snRNA U6 U6 spliceosomal RNA